rnacentral:rRNA from 1 species
UAAUACGGAAUGUGCAAACGUUAUUCGGAAUCACUGGGCUUAAAGAGUCCGUAGGCGGCAUGUUAGGUGAGGUGUGAAAUCCCCCGGCUCAACCGAGGAAUUGCGCUUCAAACCGGCGUGCUCGAGGAAGAUAGAGGUGGGCGGAACUGAUGGUGGAGCGGUGAAAUGCGUUGAUAUCAUCAGGAACACCGGAGGCGAAAGCGGCCCACUGGGUCUUUUCUGACGCUGAGGGACGAAAGCUAGGGGAGCGAACG